rnacentral:lncRNA from 1 species
GUGUUUUGGGCGGUUCCAGCCGUUAGUCGCAGGGCGGCCGGACUACAAUCCCAGCAUGCAAGGGGAGUGGAGGUGGUGACCUUGAGGGAGGGCCUGUGCUGUGCGCGCCUCGCCGGGCAUGCUGGGAACAGUAGCAUCUUAGCUGCUUCCGGCCGCUGGUCGCAGGGCUGCGGGACUACAAUCUUCGCUUGAAAUGGGAGAGAGGGUGGUGCGGAUACCUUGAGGAAGGAACCCUACAAGGCCUGUUAGAGAAGAAGGGGUAGAAUCCCGAGAAUGUUUUCCCCACAGUGCUGAUAAGGAGAGACCACUACCCCAUCUACUGCUACAACUCUGGAGACAUAGCUCUGCCAUCUCUCCUAUAGAACACAAGGACCAAUCUGCAGAGAAAGAGCAUCCAAACCUGAUCCAGUGGACACUGGGGAAAAACUCACCACAGCUGAGUGUGGAAAAACAAGGCCAACACACACAUCUCUGCACAGAUACAUCU